rnacentral:rRNA from 1 species
CAGCAGCCGCGGGAAUACGAGGGGAGCUAGCGUUGUUCGGAAUUACUGGGCAUAAAGCGCGCGUAGGCGGCUUCUUAAGUCAGAGGUGAAAGCCCGGGGCUCAACCCCGGAAUUGCCUUUGAAACUGGAAAGCUAGAAUCUUGGAGAGGUCAGUGGAAUUCCGAGUGUAGAGGUGAAAUUCGUAGAUAUUCGGAAGAACACCAGUGGCGAAGGCGACUGACUGGACAAGUAUUGACGCUGAGGUGCGAAAGCGUGGGGAGCAAACAGGAUUAGAUACCCCUGUAGUCCCUGUCUCUUAUAC